rnacentral:rRNA from 1 species
ACCCCUGCCUUUAGUUGCCACCAGGUUAUGCUGAGCACUCUAAAGGGACUGCCGGUGAAAAACCGGAGGAAGGUGGGGAUGACGUCAAGUCCUCAUGGCCUUUAUGUCCAGGGCUACACACGUACUACAAUGGGUGGCACAAUGAGUCGCAAACCCGCGAGGGGGAGCCAAUCUCAAAAAACCACUCUCAGUUCGGAUUGCAGUCUGCAACGCGACUGCAUGAAGCUGGAAUCGCUAGUAAUCGCUGAUCAGCAAGCAGCGGUGAAUACGUUCCCGGGCCUU